rnacentral:lncRNA from 1 species
UAUGGAAGUUCUCAGGCUAGGGGUCUAAUCGGAGUUGUAGCCACUGCCUACAACCACAGCCACAGCAACGCCAGAUCCAAGUCGCAUCUGCAUGACCUACACCACUGUUCACAGCAAUGCCAGAUCCUUAACCCACUGAGCAAGGCCAGGGAUCGAACACGUAUUCUCAUGGAUACUAGUCAGGUUCGUUAACCACUGAGCCACGACAGGAACUUGUAAAGCAGUUUUGAAACUUUACCAAUCCCAAAGAACGGCUGGUGGGCUGACCUUGACAGAGCUCACCAUUGUGAUACCCUCAUACCUCCCUCACCAUCACCCUCAGGGUAACCAGCAGGAACCCGGUGGUCAGCUGUCUGGGACAGUUUUGAAACAGUCAACACUGCUGGCAUGUUUCCUUUUAUCCCUGUACCUUCCCACCUCACAGAUGCCCUCCAGCCCCUCCCCCCACCACAUGUACCCCAGACUUGAGUCGGACCCCGCAUCUCAGAGUCUGAUGUGCUGUAUCUCCCAAAUACAUGCUUAACCACAUGAACUACAGUGAUGCAUAUACACAGUGAUGCUAGUGGAGUCUCUCCUCACCAAAGAGUUAAGAAAGAGUUAAGUGUUAGUGAUAAGUCCGCUUGGCAAGCGAAGAGCCUCUCUCCUGUAAGUGAGGGGCAUUCCCUGCAUGUAACAAUGAUACUGGAGAUAUUUAAAAACUCUGAGUGGUAAGAAUAUUUACAGGUGUGCUAGAUGGCAGAAUCAAGUCCAUGAAACAUAUACAUGGGAGUCUAACAUCAGGGAAACACAUUUCUCACUCAGAAUGAGUUCUGCUGCUCAAGCUGCUCUGAACAUGUUCUUCUAUACGUGGUUUUCAAGCUCUCCUUUUGGGGAGAUCCUUAUUCUCAUCAUUUGGAAGAAGAAAUGAAUGACUUAGAGAGACACAUUCUCAUUGGUCAUACCUGGAAAUGGCAGCUCAGUUCUGCUCACAUUCAAUCGGUAAGAAUUCUGUUGCUGUACCUAACAACAAAGAAGGCAGAAGAAUAUAGUCCAGCUGAAAGCUUGUCAAGAAGACACUGACUGCGGCAGCCAGGAACAUUCACAGGUCAUGUCCCCUGAACCUGAGUGUAUAACUGACUGUGGUCCCCAGCUGCUAUCCCUUUGGACCCACCACCACGUAAUGAGUAUUAUGCCAAGUCUAAUACUACAUGUCUUCUAGAUACAUCCUUUAGCAGACCUUCUUUCUUCAAAUCUACCUGAAGCCUUAGCCAUGAAACAUUACAUAAAGACAAAUACAUAGAGUCGUGUGCAGUGGUUUGAAGUACAGACUCUGGGCCCAAAAGGUCUGGGUGACCCUCAGCCAAUAACUUAACCUCUCUAUGCCUGAUUCUUUAUCUAAAAGGAAGGAAGUAGUAUGCACAGUUAAUGGGAGGAUUAAAAGAGUUAUGUAUAUAAAAUAAUUCAGAAGAACGUGCAGUAGUUAUCUAUUAUAUAACUAUUAGUUAUCGUUAUUCUGUCUCUGUGCUCUAUGGGAUUCUGGGGGCUUUGGAAGGAUCUUCAUAACUAUCAGGGUGAAGUUCUGGACCUCUUACCCCAGCUUUCAGGAAAGAAGCUCCAGUUUUAUCAGUUUAUGUAUUAACUUUUUUGCUGGACACAGGUCUAGAUCAAGGCUUCAAAGUUUGCCUCAGUUGCAAAGACCUAUCUUGGCCAAAGCCAUAUCCCUCCCAGGAGUAUAUCUGAUGGCUAUUCAAGGCAGAGGAAUACAAGCCUAGCCAAGUCACCCUCUGCUGGACAAUUUUGGUACACUUUAUCUGCUGUAGAGCUCCUUGUGGAUUUAGGGAAGGCUUUGUCUAGCCUACAACAUAGUUGAGUUUCUUAUUUUGCCAAGGCUUGCUUCCUCCCUCUCCUUUUCACAGAUUUAUUUAUUUUUUAACAGAUGCACCUGUGGCAUAUGAAAGUUCCUGGGCUAGGGUCAAAUGGGAGCUGCAGCCAGGCCUAUUGUGACGGACACAGCAACACCAGAUCCCAGCCACCAUAUCUGCAUCCUCUGCUGCAUCUUGCAACAAUGCCAGAACCUUAACCCACUGAGCAAGUCCAGCCAUCAAACCCACAUCCUCACAGAGAAAAUGUCGGGCCCUUAACCUAUUAUGGGAACUCCUGCGUGAGAUUCUUAAAAGCAAAUAACUAACAGGAAAAACCCAUAGUCUAGCCUACACAAUUUAACAUUUUAUAAUGGCCCCUAAUUGCUUUAUGAGUUUAAGAUUUUUUUUGCAAUAAGAUUAUAAAUUUCUCAAAGGCAGGAACUUGAUUACACAGAUAGAGAGGCUUAAUGACUACUUACUUGACUCUUUUUUGGGUUGAUUGAUUAAUUGAUAGUCUUAUGGAAAUUUUUUAUGUUAAAUAUAUUAGUGGUAUGGAAUAAAAUUAGUCCAUAAGUUUACUUCUCACUGCUUAAUACAGGUAACCUCAAUGUAAAACUUCAAAUGCAGAGAACUUAAUAAAAUUGUAGGAAGGAAAGAAACAGGAAAAGAGUGUCUAAAUUUAAAAAAUAAACUGUCACUUGUCUACUAAACCAAAGCUUUUAACAGUUAUUUACUACCUUGCCCAAAUUCUUUGGCCUUCUCUGUCUUAGCCAGGCAGAUAAUAAUCUCCUUAACAUGGCCUCAUAUGUCAAUGUUUGUCUCAGCCUUUGAGCAGUUGAGGCUCAUCCUGGCCAUGCAUGCCCCCAGGAACCCUUGGAGGCUGCUGCAACAGGAUCUGCCUUCUAGAGACUCUUGUUGAUGACUCUAACAGUUGAAUCUUCUUAAGAGUGAACUGAAAUCUGCC